rnacentral:rRNA from 1 species
CAGCCGCCGCGGUAAUACGUAGGUGGCAAGCGUUGUCCGGAAUUAUUGGGCGUAAAGGGCUCGCAGGCGGUUUCUUAAGUCUGAUGUGAAAGCCCCCGGCUCAACCGGGGAGGGUCAUUGGAAACUGGGAAACUUGAGUGCAGAAGAGGAGAGUGGAAUUCCACGUGUAGCGGUGAAAUGCGUAGAUAUGUGGAGGAACACCAGUGGCGAAGGCGGCUCUCUGGUCUGUAACUGACGCUGAGGAGCGAAAGCGUGGGGAGCGAACAGGAUUAGAUACCCCCGUAGUCCCUGUCUCUUAUAC